CCAAGGAGUCUAACAUGUGCGCGAGUCAUUGGGUCUUGCUCAGGCCCAAAGGCGCAAUGAAAGUGAAGGCCGGCUCGGUCGGCUGCGUUGGGAUUCCGCCCGACAAUUUUUUUAUCAGGGCGGACGCACCAACGGCCCGUCCCGGUCGCUGCGUCGACGGGGCGGAGUGAGAGCGUACACGUUGGGACCCGAAAGAUGGUGAACUAUGCCUGGGCAGGACGAAGCCAGAGGAAACUCUGGUGGAGGUCCGCAGCGAUUCUGACGUGCAAAUCGAUCGUCAGACCUGGGUAUAGGGGCGAAAGACUAAUCGAACCAUCUAGUAGCUGGUUCCCUCCGAAGUUUCCCUCAGGAUAGCUGGCGCUCGGAGGAAGCAUUCUCAUCCGGUAAAGCGAAUGAUUAGAGGCCUU
rnacentral:rRNA from 1 species